UAAGACCUAUAAAACUCUAAUUUACAUUAUCUGAAUGCAACUCAAACGCUUUCAUUAAGCUAAAGCCUC
rnacentral:tRNA from 1 species